CUAAGGGACAACUGUGUGCGGCAUAAUAAAAAAAGCCAGUGGAGAGCAGGAACCAUUUGUCUCAGGGUUCAGAGUUCACUCGGAUGGUGCAGACGCGAAACCACGAGGGGCAAGUACGUCAGAGUUUCCGAAGAAAAGCCUCAUCUGAAUGCCUCCUAACAAACAUGAAGGACUGGUUACAUGCUCAAGAGAUUGUAGGCGUUUGCGUUGAAUAGGCGCUCUUUGUUUACCAAGGCCAAAACCUAGCGCACAAGGGAAUAAGAAGAGGAUAGAGAGCUGGAGAAACAAAUCAUUCCUUGUGGAGUUUAACUUCGUAGCAUUGAAGGCAUAUGGAAGUAGAUCUCCUCUGGGCGCCAGAAGGGAUGUGUGACCGCCUGGCUUGUCAGCUGAAGCAGACAGUUUCUGUUGUGAAUACUAAUAGAGAGGUUUGUAGAUGUUUAGGGCAAGUAUCCUACUACAGUUUGUUGAUUUAGUUGGUUUUAUUUUGGAUGGAAAAAUAAAACCAACUCAAGCAGCCAAAAAGCACAGCAUGAAAGAAUUUCUUCAUGUGUAGUGUGUUUUCUGUUUACU